CAACUCGGUAAUGAUCCUUCCGUAGGGUGAACCUGCGGAAGGAUCAUUA
rnacentral:rRNA from 1 species